rnacentral:lncRNA from 1 species
CGAGACAAGGGAGAGAGAAAAGGAGAGCAAGAGCAACAAAUUUCCUUCUUGAUUUGCUUCAACCCAAGUAACAAAUCCAAUUCUAAACCGAUUAAAGUACUAAGUGUGAGUUGGGAAGCUUGAGGAACCAAGAAAUAUCAAAGGGGGUGAAGGAUCACUCUACCAAGCCUUGCUUUUGAGGUACCAACAUUUGAUCAUGAUCUUUGUUGCUUUGAAUCUUGCUUUAAGAUGUGUUUGUAGCUUAAGUUUUGGCUUGAUUUCAUGAUUAUGCAAGUGGGUGUGAUGAAUUUGGAAGUUUUCCCCUUUUAUAUGAUGAACUAGGGCUUGAGAAAUUUCUGCCCAAUUUGUUGUAUGAUGCUUGUAUGUUGCAAUUAAGGUUGUAUAAGGUGUUUUGGUAGUGAUUAGAACAAGAAAAUUGAGGAAGUUCCAUUGAUUGCAAAAAAUUCCAGAAUCUGGAAAAUUUUUCCCAACAUUCUGUCCGAAUUUGUAACCCUAUGUUAGAGGCUGAAUUGGCCUUAGGUCAAAGAAUGAAAGUUGUAGAGAAUGGUAUUUUAUAGGUGCCUACAAAAUUUCAGCUCAAUCGGAGCAACGUAGGUCGUGAAAAGUCCAAAAUACCCUUACUGUUUUAAGUAUUUCUCCAGCAGUCCGUUUCAUCAGUUAGUCCAGUUUAUCACGUUUUUUGACUAGGAUACGUACUGAUUUAGGUCUUGGCCAAAACAUGAAAGUUGUAGUAUUCUGACUUAGCUUUCAAAUGCCUCUAAGAACACCUGAUUUGGACUUUUGGACUCUGAGAUAUGAUCAUUACAGUGUAAUGCGGUUAAGUAGUUGACAAAUUGGAUUUUGGUUCUGUAAUUUGAGAAUUUGACUAAGUUGCACUAGGAACUGGACUAAGUGACCUUCAUGAACAUUGUAUCCCUGAGUCUUAGCUUCGAAACGGCAUAGGUUGCGCCUCAAUCCGAUAAGCGUAGCCUCGGAUAUGUUAUUUCCGCAUCCAUAUGUCAAAUCUGUCUUUUGCUAAAUUGAAUUUCUGCACUUGCUAUUAUUGUGAAUCUUGUUCUUAUGAUAUUGUGAGCCUAUGGAAUGGCUCUUGACUUGAAUUGCUUAUAUAUGUAACUUUGGGUUGUGGCUGAGAAAAAUAAUGAAGCCUAAAUGGCUGGAAAAUUAGGUAAACACAAAGGGCAUGCUGCCCGAAUUUUUAUUCGAGAACUAGAAAACUAUAUUUGCAACUUGAGUGAAGGUUAAGUGAUUACCACUUGAACUAGCGAGAACUUUUGCUACUUUGUUAUUGAUGGUUAUACGUUAAAAACCUAAACGAACUUGUACUCUUGAGGAAAAGAUAUAAUGGCCAAUGUAAACUUGUAUUUCCUUGUACUUUCAACUCAAGUAUUGUUCCAAGUAUAUAUGCUACAAAAACCUUAUGAUUUGAAAAGCGAGCAAGUGUUUCACGAAUGCCUUUCAAAUGAAUUUCAAUUGGUUGAUUCUUAUGAACGGAACGUUUAAGUUUCAAAUCUUACUCGUGUUUCAAAGUUCUCAAAUUGGAUUUCUAUCGCAGAUCUGGACUCUAAGCCUGAAGUGUAAUUGAACGUGAAUACUUGAGGCACUAUAUUGUGGCAAGUGCUUCCAAAUAUUCGAUUGUACUUGAUAUAUGUGUUCCUCACUUGACUUAUAUGAUUACAUGAAAAUGAAUGAUAAGGCAAGGGUGUAGCUUUAUUUGUGAUUAAAAUGCUAAAAAGGUGAUAGGAACUUGCGGGUUUUAGACUUUCUUUUGCUUGACAUGGUCAUUGUAAUUUAGGGCUUGGACUUGAGCAUGGCAAUAAGGUAUGAUGGAUAGUUCCUGCGCUGUAGUUGGUGAGUGAUCUCUCGACUGUUCCCAAAGUUACUUUUGAACUAAUUCUUGCAUUUAUUACUCCAUUACAUAUCAUUUGGGUUCGGGUGUAUGUCAUGACAUAAUUUGGUUCCAAUGAGUUCCUGGAAAGUCUUGUGCUUAGAACCAAUGUCUCCUCUACUGUUUACAUAUUCUUUGGAGCACGAUGGCUCCUUACUUCUGUUUCACAGUUACCUGAUCUAAACGAGCAUUGGAUAUUUAAGUACAAGAACUUCACUGACUCUCGUGAGCAAUAAAUGAACAUUUGAUUACUGUAUCAUGGCAUCAUAUCAAUGCUUUAUUGUGAAAUAUACUUGGCUGUUGAUUUUACUGGUCACUCGCUGAGCUUCUAGCUCACCCCCUAUUAUCUUCUUCUCCCCACAGGGAUCGAGGUAAAGGAAGAACUUGUAUUUGGAUCUUUGUGUGGCUGGAUGGCGUACAUCUUGUAUAGUUUAGUUUUGAUUUUGGUUUAUGUACUUUUGGGCUUGUAUAAAUAUUUGGAAUUGAAUCGGAUGUAAAUCUACAUUUUACGCUUAGAACUAGUUUCCGCUUCGCUUAGGAUAUGUAAUUUUGGAGAAUUGGAUGUAUUAUUUGAGUUGUAUCUUGUAAUUUACUUGAGGAAUGUAGUAAGUGAGUGAGUCCCGGCGAGAGUUGGGCAGGCGGCCCGUCGAACCCUCUGAUUCGCCUCAGGGGGAGGUGGGGGCGUGACAAUUGAUAACUUUAAGGGUUUGUUUGAUAACAUAAAAAA